rnacentral:lncRNA from 1 species
AAAUACAAGUCAAAGACAUAAGUAAAUGGUUUGGGUUUUAUAAGCAUCAACCAUCAAACAAACUUUUUUUUUUUUUUUGACAUAACCAUCAAACAAACUUAACAAUUGCAAAAUUCAUGAUGAUGAUGAAGUCUUCACUAAUAUUUCUUUCUAUUUUAAUCCACUUAACAGUUUCACACUCAUUAACCUUAACACUUUCACACUCAUUAACCCAAAACCAAAAUUUAUCAGUCUAUGAAGCCCUUCAACAAUAUGAUUUCCCAGUUGGUAUUCUUCCACAAGGUGCAACAAGCUAUGAACUAAACAAAAACACAGGAAAAUUCACUGUCUAUUUUGAUGGAACAUGCAUCUUUGGUAUA